rnacentral:lncRNA from 1 species
AGGCGCCUCGUUUCUGUGAGUCUCGGAUCCCUCAACUGAUUAAGACCGUGAGCCCCGCGAGGGACCCGGACUCUGCCCGACCUGAUUAGCCUGGAUCUCCCCAGCGCUUAGUACAGUGCCCGGCACAGAGGGAGAGGUUAACAAGCACCAUUAAAAAAAAGAGAGGCCGCCCCGGGGUCUGGGGCCCAGCGGUUGCUGUCCCGUGGAGCUCGGAGAGGUUUCCUUUUACUCACGGGCUUGAGAAGAUACUAGAAGGGGAAAGAGAGUGAGAGUGAGACGAGGGAAGUUGUGUGGGUGAGUCAGGGGGGCCCGAGACCAGAAGGAGCCUCGGAAGCGGAGUGUGUGGAUCUCGUGACUGUCUUGAGGGAGGUUGGGGGUGAGACGGAGAGCUGGGGGGACUCAGGGUGAGGGGACUGAAGGGACCGUCCGCAUUAUCAAAUGCGAAAACUCAUCUCCCAGCAGAUUUUGCAACAUCAACGCCCUUCCUCUCUCCUAUUUCUCCUUCUCUUCCUGCAUUGUUCCUCCUGGCUCCUUCAUCCCUCCCCCAUCUCUCUUUCUCCCCUCCUCGGUUCUUCUCUCGUCCUUUCCUCCUCCUCAGGUCCUCUGUUUCCAUUUCUCCCCUUCCCAUCCUGUUCCUUCUCUGGCCCUCUCCUCCCCCAGUCGCCCCAUCACGUCCUCCCUCCUCUGCCUUCUCCCCCGCUACCGUUCCUGCCUUCCCGUCCCCUCCCGUUUUCAGUGGGACCCAUGGGAACUUGAGUUCACGGCCAAAACGGGAAGAAGGCCAAGCAGAGCCGGCGACGAGGAGGGUGGGGGGGCGAGAGGGGAGCGUAGGGGUGAACGACCGACAGUAACCUUGGCUCCCGGCUCCUCUCCUCCCACAGCCGGACCGAGGCGUCCGGCCGGCCGCCGAGUCCCUCCGCUUCCAGCCCUGGCUCCCCUCCCUCCUCGUUCCCCGCUCCGGUCCCUCGCUCCCCGCUCCACCGGGCCCGAUAGGCAGCGGGCGGGAGACUCUGAGCUACUCGGAGAGACUCAUCCCGGUCGGAAGGGGCCGCAGACCCGCGGGAUCCUGGGCAGAUUCGGCCCCUGCAAAGGGCUUGGCGGGCUGGGACUUGACCUCUCGGAUAAGAGGCAGCCUAUGUCGUCAAUCUGAGGGUCAGCCAAUCAUUCAUUCGAUGGAAUCGAUUGCGCCUCUGACUUGGUGCAGAACACAGGUCAGAGGGCUCGGGGGAGUAGCACGCAGCCGGUAGACACAAUCCCCGUCCUCGGAGGAGCUUGCCACCUGCCCGGGAACAUUUAGAAAUUCAGGGAGAAGGGAGUCGGCCUAGCUGGAGCCUCUGUGUCUAUCCACAGGUCUGCUCCCCGCUCAUCUUCUCCGGGACUUCCCAGGGAGUGGGCACAGGAUGAGGCAGCAAUUCGACCACUUCUCUCUCCCUCCUGCUCUCCCGUAGGACCCCCGGUCCCAGACGCUGCUGCAGAGACCCUCCCCUUCUCGCUGCACCCCCAUCCACUACUCUGAGAGUUCCUUCGAGAGCCCCUGCCUCAGGUUCCGACAUCCCAAACCUCCUUCCAUUCAUUCAUUCGUAUUUAUUGAGCGCUUCCCGUGUACAGUGUUCAAGUGUUUGGAAAGUACAAUUCAUCAAUAAAGAGAGAUAAUCCCUUGCAAUCUAGAAGUUAAUAAUGGCAUUUGUUAAGCGCUUACUAUGUGCCAAGCACUGUUCUCAGCGCCGGGGUAGAGACAAGGUAAUCAGAUUGUCCCACGAGGGCCUCACGGUCUUCAUCCUCACUUUCCAAAUAACAAUAAUAAUAAUGAUGAUGACGGCAUUUGUUAAGCGCUUACUUUGCGCCGAGCACUGUUCUGAGCGCUGGGGGGGAUACAAGGUAAUCAGGUUGUCCCACUUGGGGCUCACAGUCUUAAUCCCCAUUUUACAGAUGAGGUAAUUGAGGCCCUGAGAAGUGAAGUGACUUGCCCAAGUGGCGGAGCUGGGAUUAGAACCCAUGACCUCUGACUCCCAAGCCCGUGAUCUUUCCACCGAGUCACGCGGGUGAGGAAACUGAGGCACGGAGAAGCCAAGUGUCUUGCCUAACCUCAUUCACCUGCUUCUUCCUGACCCCCGGUCUCUCAGUCUGGACAAUGAGGGGGGCGCGGAGGAGGGAGGGCUCGGUCAAAGGAGAGCGGGGGGAGACUGGGCCUUCGUCCUUCGGGCCCUUGGGUGUGAGCUUUUUCUCAGCGCAACCCCUGCGCCCCGACGGUAGCGGCGGAGUCCUAGACUGAGCGACUCUCGGGGGUGAGGAGUGUGGCGGAGACCAUUCAGAUCGUAGCUUCGGCGGAGGGCUCCGGGGAGGACCGGUGGAGGUAGGGCUAGGAGGCCGGGGAGCCGCCCGGGCCCGAAAGAGCAGGGAGCGAGAAAGAGGCUGGGAAAGAGGGUGGCUGCGUGUUGCAAUCCCUGGCCUGCAUAAAGACCUUUGCUCAGCGAGGUGCCUGUGGAGUGGCGUCUCCGGGGGAGGAGAGGGCAGAGCCAGCUUCGAAAGGGGCAGUGAGGAGAGGCGGGCAGAGCCCGAGGAGGGCCCUCAGAAGCUUCUGUGGUGAGGAGAGUGGGGCGGGGGGCUGCUCUGGGGUGGG